UAACGCGUAGGUAACCUGCCUUGUAGCGGGGGAUAACUAUUGGAAACGAUAGCUAAUACCGCAUAACAAUGGGUGACUCAUGUCAUUUAUUUGAAAGGGGCAAAUGCUCCACUACAAGAUGGACCUGCGUUGUAUUAGCUAGUAGGUGAGGUAACGGCUCACCUAGGCGACGAUACAUAGCCGACCUGAGAGGGUGAUCGGCCACACUGGGACUGAGACGCGGCCCAG
rnacentral:rRNA from 1 species